AUUCACAAGUCCUCUAAGAGGAAAACUGGUGCCCUUCUCAGGGACAUAGUAACUUGGAAGAAAACCUGGCAUGCCUAAGGUCUUUGAGAAUAAGGGAUGCACAUUUCCUUUGCCUUACUUGGGCUGCCUACAUAU